GACGAACGCUGGCGGCGUGCUUAACACAUGCAAGUCGAGCGGUAAGGCCUCUUCGGGGGUACACGAGCGGCGAACGGGUGAGUAACACGUGGGUGACCUGCCCUCAGCUCUGGGAUAAGCCUGGGAAACUGGGUCUAAUACCGGAUAUGACCUUUCCUCGCAUGGGGUUUGGUGGAAAGUUUUUUCGGCUGGGGAUGGGCCCGCGGCCUAUCAGCUUGUUGGUGGGGUGAUGGCCUACCAAGGCGACGACGGGUAGCCGGCCUGUGAGGGCGACCGGCCACACACGGGGAGAGAGACGGGGCCGAGUCUUACGGGGGGGGGAAGUGGGGAAAAUUGUGCGCAGGGCGCGGGAGCGUAGCGCCGCCGCGCCGUGGGGGAGGUGGGGGUUCGGGUUGUAAAAACCUCUCGACCCCGACGAAUUUGGACGGUAGGGGUAGAAGAAGCACCGGCCAACUACGUG
rnacentral:rRNA from 1 species